CAUAUUUUACACGAGAAAGUGUUUCUCAUGUAUACUCUUCAUGCACAAAUCAAUUCAUGCCCCUUCUCUUCUCAUGCCCAAGUGGAUAGGGAUGAGUUGGUUUUGCAUUUGAAUUCAAAUUUGAUUUGAAUUCAAAUGUGCAACUACUUAUCUUUAUCCUCUCAUGCGGAUAAGACAUGUUUGACGUUGUUUUAAAAGGAGGAGAAAGGUGGGGCAUGCAUAAAAUUUUUUGGAGAAAAAGAGUGG
rnacentral:lncRNA from 1 species